GAGAGAGAUAGGGAAAGAGAGAUGGGAGUCUCUGUGGGUUGGUUUGUUGGGUAAAAUAUGUAAGAGUCACAGGAAACAGCCUACUAUCUUAACAAGCCUCAUCCUGGUUCUCCUCUAGAUCUCCCCUGGAUGUCCAGAUAAGACCUGGAGACCUGUCAUAGGGAAAGCUGCCCCCCAGUGAACUCAGUUUGAGUUUUGGUCUUUGUGGUCCAGCAGAGCCUCAUCAUCUGAGUUCAUUGCAGCCUAGUAAAUGCAGAAGUAAAAUGACUGCCGUCUGUCCUCUGGCUCAGCAGAGCGUCGAGCGGCCGACAGCUGCCUGGCUUUGUGAUUAAAGGCUACAUUCUGCUGCCCAGUCACAUAGGCCUGGAAGAGGGUGGACCGUGUCCUCAGGGCCAAAUCCAUCCAGUUAGGAAACAGGAGAACAAAACUCAAGAACAAGCUGCGGCCCCAGGAGGAGCUGCUUCCCCCGGCCAGUCUGAGAACGGACACUUCCAAACCAGAGGGCAGGAAUGGACAAGGCUAAGGGUUAGGACCCCAAGUGGAAUGAGCCACCACUUGCCUAGAGGCUCCUGUGGGCUGUGAAUUUCCAUCCUCAGUUCUGGUAGGCUGAUAUCCUAGCAUCUGCCCCACUCCAUAGACACCCAGCUCUGGGUGGCAGAGCUACAGGCUGUUUGGACUCUGUUGAGCCACCCAGCCAUGCUCAGCUGACCUAGAGAAAGCUUCCCAAUA